UUCCAAAGGGAAAAGAUCCAAUGGAAAGACUCGAGCUGACUCGAAGAUGCAUGUAUUGGGGAAUAUGCCAAUACAGCAAAAAACUAUCCACAGCGGAUACUUCGGAUAAAAUCCGGAUGAAAACAAUCCACUAAGGGACUUCGCUGGGGAUGUCCACAAGGACACUCCUGGGGAAGCAGCGGGACGAGGUAUUACCGGUUACUGGGUAAUAAGCUCAAGGAGACAUGUGAUCUGAACGCCAGGUAUGAGGGUGAGAGAUACAACAUGCUCAGGAAGAGAUGAAUAUCCAAGACCGGUAUAAGGGUGAGAGAUAUCAAAACUUCAAAACGUCUGAGGAAAACCUAAAAGGUAUACUUCAACUCAGGGAUUCUGACUCCACAGGGGACAAAAAGUCAUAAUAGGGAGCAGAGAGGAAGGAACACCAGGGAUACCGGUUACUGGGCAUAUAAUAGGUGACCAACCAAGGCGUGAAUUGGGGAAUAUUCCCAAAACACUCAUCAUCCAAAAGAGGGCUAAAAGCAAACUCGAUUACAGGAUGGAUAUUCGACUCCACAAAGGGGAUACGAAUCUUACUCAACUGGGGAAGAACAAAAGGCUUCAGACCCGAGAGUGCAUGAGAUAUACUAUCUAUUACCGUCAGAACAUAGAUAAUAUACUCGCAUGGACGAUUAUCCACAACCGGUUACUGGGUUAAUAAAGGAUAAAUCGACCGAAAAGAAAAGGCAUCGGGAUACCGAAACUAGGUAUAUAAUGAUGACCAAUUCAGGGGAGAAACAAUCGUUACCAACAACAACAAGGUAGACGAGAGAUGACCCGCUGGGGAUAAAUUGCGUAAUCAGGGCAAUUAUCCAAGCAGAUGAGGGGAUAUCAUCACCGAAUAUUGGAUGAAGAUAACUGUCACCAAUUAAAGAUGAGCAAAAAUAGUUACUCUGCAAAAAGGGAAGAAAUAGGGUUUACAACUACCGGUAUGAGGGUAGAGAAACACAGACUCCGCCGGGGAUAAUAAUUACUAAUUAUUGAGCAAUUAUUCAUUUACCACGGGGAAACAGGAAAAGAGUCUCAAGAGACCGAUCUAGGAUCAAACUAGAUAGGCACACCAAAUCAAGACUUGUCCCGGUGAGGAUAUAACUCAAUGGGGAAAACCAUCCCAGUAUAUGUGUUGGGAAGGAACAAAAACAAUCAACAUCCACGAGGAUAUAACCCGGUGGGGAAUAUGGAAGAAAGGAUAGACGCUUUCUGCCUAUGGAGCUGACUCUAUAUGGAGAGAUCAGACACACACAUCUGCUUGGGGAAGUAUAUCACCAAAUAGCAGGAGACAACAAACAACGAUAUAUGGCAAAGAAUGCAACAUGAAUAUCUGAAUGUUAUAAUUAUGCAUGAAUAUGCGUGGUUUAUGUAUGAUGUAUGCUGACAGACAAACAUAUUUAACACAACCAGGUCCAGGAAUCAACCACCCGGUACUACAUCUCAAGAGAGAAAUCCAAGUUCACCGGGGAGUAUCCAAUCUGCUGGGGAUCAGAGAUACCAGGAAGCAAAGAACUCUGUAGGGGAUGAAUCAUCAAUCAUUCCAGCUGGGGACGAGAGUUAUCACAGACAAGGUCCACCACACCGAUAACUCUACUGGGGAAUCUAUCCGAGGAGAUAAAGGAUUUAUUGGGAUCAACCACCAAAUACCGCUCUUGCCCAAAGAGAUCCAAGCCGCUGAGGAAGAAAGAUUGCUACUCUGCUGAAGGGAAGAGAGGUGACUCUCAACAAGAAAUCCACUUGGUAGGAUAAACUACAAGGGGUUCCGGAGGGAGGAGAUACAAUCAUGCCAGGAAUAUGGACAAAAAUCUUACCCUGUUGGGGAUCGUACCACCCUUGGGAGAGCACUGAGGAUCUCCUAAGUAUCCUUUCGUCAUUGUGAAUGUUCACUUUGUUUAAAAACAAAUUAUAAAAAAUUUGAUCGUUUAAAACAAUGAUAUUUUCUUAAUCAAAACAUGCAAAACAUUUGUUGAAUAGAAACAGAUAAGAGUGCCAAUAAUUGGAUAAAAGGCUCAAAUUUAUUUGAUAGAAUGGUAGUCUGCGAAUGGCAAGACUCCAUAGAUCUUUACAAAUUUGAAAUUGGUGAUAUAUAAUGGAAAAGGGCUACAUUGAACAUAAUGACCAUUUCUCCACCAAUUCUGAAUCCGAUGUAUUUGAAGCUUUGGUUGAUAAUGAGCAAGAAUCUCUGACGGACGACAGUUGUGGAACAAAGUCUUGUCAGGAUGCAGUUACUUACCAAAUCCCUAAUUUUUGCCUAGAUUGCCCCAGGAUGAGGUACUCAAUCUAGCGGGAUACAUAUAUCAUUAUUAUAUAUUUUUUGUGUCUCUAACUUUGGCCUGGAUCGCUCUUUCGGGUUUUCAAUCCACCGAGACGCUCAUUUUUGCCUAAGCCGCCCUUUCGGGUUUUCAACUUAGCGAGCUAUUCAGUUUUUAUAUUUUUUAGGCGAAGUAUUUCUUGACUGCAUAUGAAUUCACAGGACGAGUGAAAUCCUCCCCAUCCAUAGUUGUAAGUAUCAAAGCACCACCUGAAAAGGCUCUCUUAACAACAUACGGACCCUCAUAGUUUGGAGUCCACUUGCCCCUGGAAUCGGGUGCGAAAGACAAGACUUUCUUGAGCACGAGGUCACCUUCUCGGAACACACGAGGCUUGACCUUCUUAUCAAAAGCUUUCUUCAUUCAAAUAAUAACAAAGAGACGAAUUUUGGUCCCUAAGAGACCUCAUGAUGCAAAUGUAGGUAUGAAAAAUGGUAGCACUCUGUGGAGAUAUGUGUCCACAAAAGCAAAGAAAUCAGAAGCCAAUGAUAAUCCAUAUGAGCAAUUCACUCCAUGGGACCAAGACCCUGGGGACUCUCCUGGGGAUAGAAAAGGGAUAAAAAUGCGUGAGCAGGUCAUGACUCAAAGCGUGGGGAACAGAAUUCCAAAGGGAAAUGAUCCAAUGGAAAGACUCAAGCUGACUCGAAGAUGCAUGUAUUGGGGAAUAUGCCAAUACAGCAAAAAACUAUCCACAGCGGAUACUUCGGAUAAAAUUCGGAUGAAAACAAUCCACUAAGGGACUUCGCCGGGGAUGUCCACAAGGACACUCCUGGGGAAGCAGCGGGACGAGGUAUUACCGGUUACUGGGUAAUAAGCUCAAGGAGACAUGUGAUAUGAACGCCAGGUAUGAGGGUGAGAGAUACAAC
rnacentral:lncRNA from 1 species